AAGACUUUAAAGUUAUCAUUUGAAAGCAAAUAUAGUCAAAGAUAGUUGAAGGUAGUGAAUGAUAAAAUGAAUUAAUAGAUGAAUAACCAUGUUUUGGAGCUUGUGAUACUAUUUAAGAACUAAAUGGUGGUUGGAUGCAAGUGGAUCUUCAAUAUGAAGGCAUAUAUCCUAGGAAUCGAAGAACCGAUGUUUAAGGAAAAACUUAUAGCAAAUGUGUUUACCUAUGUGGAAU
rnacentral:lncRNA from 1 species